rnacentral:lncRNA from 1 species
CGACUCAUGAGUCGACUCACAGGUCGUGCCAAGCCAAAAAACUAGCAUGCCAAGGGAAAUUUUUGCGUGCCAAUCAGCUCAUUGUGCCAUGAGUUGACUCAUGAGUCAACUCAUGCACUUCAAACAUUCAUAUCUUCAAAAAUAUAAGUCCAAAUACAAUGAAAUUUUCACCAAUAGAUUACAAAUCAUUUGUUCUACCAAAUGAUACUAUCAAAUCAGGAUUUUAGUAAAAUUAUGAUUUUGCCCCUGAAGAGCAUAAAGACUUUUUCAAUUUAAAAAUAUUUGUAUCCCUUCAAUCUGCUUUGUAAUCAUCAAAAUCAAUCUAGGAGCAACACCCUUGUAGUGGAUGUUAGUGACAGUUGGUCCACUGUAGGAGUGGGGUGCGCAUCAAGAUAAGAUCUAUCGAUCUUGAUACAGAGGAGUAGUCUUAUGAAAUUUGAGAGGCUAAGUCUAAGAGUCUGUGGCCACGCAGUGUGAUUGAUGAAAAAAAAUUUCAUAGAAGUCAUAACUGGACUUGAGCUAAUCAAUCUAUCAUAUGACUGAUGUUGAAGUUUGACGAUUUAUCCAUGAUCUGCCAUCU